rnacentral:rRNA from 1 species
GACGAACCGUGCGAACGUUGUUCGGAAUCACUGGGCUUAAAGGGCGCGUAGGCGGGUGGACCAAGUCCGGGGUGAAAGCGCCCGGCGUCAAGCCCGGGCAAGGGCCUUGGAUACUGGUCGACCGUUGAGGGAGUGAGGGGCAGUGUGGAACUUCCGGUGGAGCGGUGAAAUGCGUUGAUAUCAGGAAGGAACGCCGGUGGCGAAAGCGGCGUACUGGACCUCGUUCUGACGACGUG